CUUCUGUAUUUUGUCUUCUCUAGAGCUCCCAGAGCAACAUUUUAUUAUUGAGGAUGAGUUUCCAUCUGACCAGCAGCUCUGGAACCUUGAGAGGAAUCCCAGUCUGGACCAAGAGGAGCCAGAACCUCCACAGAUUAAGGAGCAGCAGGAGGAGCACUGCAUCGAGCUCCCAGAGCAACAUUUUAUUAUUGAGGACGAGUUUCCAUCUGAACAGCGGCUCUGGAACCUUGAGAGGAAUCCCAGUCUGGACCAAGACGAGCCAGAACCUCCACAGAUUAAAGAGGAGGAGGAGCACUGCAUCGGUCUGGAAGUAGAGCAGCUUGAACUGAAGCAGGAGGAUCAAGAUAACGUUUUGUUGAAUCCUACUCUCAAGGAAAGUGACCACAGUGAACCAGAGACAAGUGACAAUCAGCUCCUCUCCCACCGCUCAGCUCAGAGCCAAGAUCUCAACGAACGCAAGCAUGGAAACUCAAAAUCAGUUAAAAAUGCAGAGCAGGCAUCAGAAAAGGAACAUCAUGUCAUCACAAGAGCAAAAGAAAGCACAAGUCCCAGUAACCUUGCAUGUAGCACUACCAUGUCAAAUAUUGUGCCGAAUAUCUGCAAGAGUAAAAAGGUUUUUCAGUGUGA